GACGAACGCUGGCGGCGUGCCUAACACAUGCAAGUCGAACGGAAAGGCCCUGCUUUUGUGGGGUGCUCUAGUGGCGAACGGGUGAGUAACACGUGAGUAACCUGUCCUUGACUUUGGGAUAACUUCAGGAAACUGGGGCUAAUACCGGAUAGGAGCUCCUGCUGCAUGGUGGGGGUUGGAAAGUUUCGGCGGUUGGGGAUGGACUCGCGUCUUAUCAGCUUGUUGGUGGGGUAGUGGCUUACCAAGGCUAUGACGGGUAGCCGGCCUGAGAGGGUGAGCGGCCCCAUCAGGACUGGGAUGCGGCACAGACUCGAACGGUAGGGAAGGGAGGAGAAGGGAGCACAGGGGGAGGAGGCAUAGUGCGAUAACGCAGCGUGCGGGGAGAGGGGCUGGGGGUAGGGAUGUGAAGCUGCCUUUGACGAGACGUUAAUGACGGUAAUGGGUGAAGAAGCACCGGCUAACUACGUG
rnacentral:rRNA from 1 species